ACCGCGCCGCGUUGUGGAGGGUGCAGACGGCGGCUCCUGUGGAACUUGGGGGCGAUCUUCUCGGCGUUCCCCUCAGCUGAGCCUUCUCCUCAGGCCCAGAUGCUCUUCAACUCGGUACUCCGCCAGCCGCAGCUCGGCGUCCUGAGGAACGGUGAGUAACGGCCCCAACGGCCGCUGGCCGUGGCGGGAACCACCUCCCCCCAGGCGCUCCACCUUGGAUCGCUGCCGACUGUGGGCCUCCAGGUCUCCCGCGGCCGGAGCGAAUCCGGGCGAGCGAGGACCGCCGAAGAACAUCGUGCUUGGGUUCCUUCCGGACGCUUUUCACCGUAAUCGAGCUUUUUAGUUCGGAACGGAGGCCGAAGUUAGGACGCUCAGUGGCGUCCCGGGCCCCUGGCUGCUUACGUCAAUAUCGCGCGUUAACUAGAGAGUGCACGCUUGUGAGAGUCGGGGGUGGGAGACGCUUUGGCACCAGCGAUGUGCCUGCCGUCUCUGCAGAACCUUAGCGAUCCCUGCAAGUUCGUUGUGCACCAGCGCGCAUGGCCCGCAGUUAAGGAACUCAAUCUUAAGGCGCCAAAGUCCCCUCCCCCAUCUCUGCAGGCUCUGAAAAGUCCUAAAAUACAGACUAAAAGAUGCCCAUAGCCACACCCACGAGGUGACCACGGGUAAUGGAUGGAAGGGUAUUGUUCCAAAUGUGUCUUGAUGCCGAGGUACUUCCAGAAAUGGGAUUAAACUCGUUUUUCUCUUCACGGUGGAAUUCAGCCAUGUUCUCCUGUUAGCAUAUAGAAAGCCAGCUCAUCUCCUACAGUACUCUUAAAAACAUUGGCAAUCUGAGAUGCGAUUAGGCUGAUGUGUUGUUAAACUAAGACCUUGAAGAGUGGUCCUAAGAAUGUUGAGAAGAGGAAAAGCUCCUUGAGGUCCUGCCCGGAUCUAAAACUUUGUAGUCGUAUUCCCUCUGUGGAUACUCUUGUAGUUACAUUCUGCCUCUUUCUCUGCUCGAACUUUACAAAAGUUACUUCGCCCUGUGUUAGGAAUGGCCGCCCUGCACAAUGGUUGUGAGCGGUCUUCGGAGCGUCUGAGUUUCAACUCCACCUCUUUUCCUAUGUGCUACAUUUUCUGUCUACCCACUUUUCAGUCUGUCGUUCCGGCUUACAGAUAGCCAGACAGACGUUCAGUGAUAGGCACUGGCAUUCAUUGAUUGUUACCUCCUGAAGUCUGCAUCUCUUUUCCCCUCCGGUGUUGCUGGGCCUUAAAUGAUUAUAGCCGUAAGUAAGGAUUCUACUGCUGCUACACUCUUCCAUUCCCUAUGUUUUGGGUUAAUUUCUGUAAAAGCUGUAUGUAUUGAACUUAAUCUAGACAGUUAGGCAUACAAGCAUCUUAUAUUCUAAUGCCCCAAACUGAGUUGGCUUCUUCCCAAUUUUUGGGAGUGACAUUAUUUUAAACUGGUGUCCCCAGCUAAAACUUAGACUCCAUAUUCCUCAUUAUGACAUUUUCAAAAGAAAAAAAAGAAAUCCCUUAAGUCUGCUUGAAUCUCUUUUUCCAUCCCCACAGAUUCAGCCUCUUUACCUCAAACUGAGUCUUCCAUUUUCUCUAUUCCAUCCCCACCAUUGGGCCUGAUACUUUACUCCCUGAUCAUAACAAGCCUCUAAAUGUGCCUUUAGUUUCCUUUCUCUACCGAUAUUUGUAAGAUGGAAAUAUAAUUACUUUUGUGAGUUUUUAAAUCCAUAUCUAAGAAUUUUUACUAUAAACUUUAAACAUGCAAAAUUAUAAUUUUUAGCCUUAUAGUGAGUUAGCAUCUUAAGAUAAAUACUAUUUUAGCCUUUUAAAUACAUCUGACACUAUAAACAACUAUACCAACGUGGAAGUCGUGGUCUCUGUUUUUGAAAAGGUGAGCAAAUGCUUACUGUUCGAUGUUUUAUAUGGUUGCUUUUUCUUCUGAAUAUUUCUAUCUUAAUUCUCCGCAAAUUUAUCCUAUUGUAAUUUAAAAGUUCUUGUCACCCUGUCAUGCCCCAUCAAAAAGCAUAUAAAGUGCUGUUUUCUGUGGUUUUAGUACCCAGUAGUCACAAAGGUUUCCCUUAGGAUGAAUUAUCACCACAGUUAAUUAAUAGUGGGCAGUUGUUAGAAACUAAGUAACUUCUUAAAAUGUUUUAAGAAAAAAGCAAAAUUUUUAUUGAAAGUGCAUCUUUUAAAGAAAUGGAUUUAGGUAUCUGGUGCCUUGUGGUCUCAAAUUGUCUCAUAGUUAGGACCUCACUAGUUUUCUAUUUGGGGUUUUGUGUGUGUGUGUGUGUGUGUUUAUUUAUUUAGCACAUGCCUUUAAUCCCAGCACUUGGGAGGCAGAGGCAGGCGGAUUUCUGAGUUCAAGGACAGCCAGAGCUACAUAGAGAAACCCUGUCUCGAAAAACC
rnacentral:lncRNA from 1 species